rnacentral:rRNA from 1 species
AUUGAACGCUGGCGGCAUGCCUUACACAUGCAAGUCGAACGGAAACAGGUCUUCGGAUGCUGACGAGUGGCGAACGGGUGAGUAAUACAUCGGAACGUGCCUAGUAGUGGGGGAUAACUACUCGAAAGAGUGGCUAAUACCGCAUGAGAUCUACGGAUGAAAGCAGGGGAUCGCAAGACCUUGUGCUACUAGAGCGGCCGAUGGCAGAUUAGGUAGUUGGUGGGAUAAAAGCUUACCAAGCCGACGAUCUGUAGCUGGUCUGAGAGGACGAUCAGCCACGGUGGGACUGAGACACGGCCCAGAGUCCGACGGGGGGCAGCAGUGGGGAAUUUUGGACAAGGAGCGAAAGCCUGAUCCAGCAAUGCCGCGGGCAGGAUGAAGGCCUUCGGGUUGUAAACUGCUUUUGUACGGAACGAAAAGCCCCGGGUUAAUACCCUGGGGUCAUGACGGUACCGUAAGAAUAAGCACCGGCUAACUACGUGCCAGCCGCCGCCGUAA